UUAUGUUAAAAAAAAGUGUUAAAAAUGGAAAUAAACCCAUGUCAGAACAGUGCUGUCUUGUUUUAUGAUACUGUGGGUGAAAAGUUAACAGAAAAGCCAGAACUCUUUUAGGAAGAUUCUAUAUAAGCUCUCAUCAAGAGGUUUCCCACUAUCCCCAGUUCAUUUGACUAAUGAGAUGCAGUGACCUAGAAAUGUGCAACUAAAGACUGUUGCUAAGAGUGGAGAGAUUAACAGAAAAGCCAGAACUCUCUUAGGAAGAUUCUCAUCAGGAGGUUUCCCACAAUCCCCAGUUCAUUUGACUAAUGAGAUGCAGUGACCUAGAAAUGUGCAACAAGAGACUUUGUGAAGGAGGCAAUAGGUUUACAGAAGAAGCUUGGUAAGUUGUUAAUUUUAGUUUAAUGUUAGUAUUUAAGAGGAGUUAUUUAUACUGCUAUCAGAAACAAUUAAGGAGCAAAAAUAAAGCAAAAAAUCCUAAUCAACAGUUGAAAAAAUCAUACAUACAUAACAUCAGACACUGAAGAUGUUUAUGUCAAAUCUGUAUCCUAAAGCUCUAUAGUAUUUGAAACUGUGCAUAACUUUUAGAGAUGUGCAUCAGCACUAUUCACGACUAAAGAAAGUUAAGAAUAGCUAUGUGAAAAAUCUCAUUAAAUGGUAAUGGUGUCUUGCUUGUCUGAAUUGAUGCCACAUUUCUUUAUUGGGGAGAAUUUGCCUUUUAUUGAUUCAGAGGAUAAUGCAUUUGUUUUAUGGUGUUGAACAGCAUGUGUACUUUGCUCCAAAAGGGGGUCAAGGGUUAUCCUGUGUUACAGUACUAGUAAGUACUAACAUUACUGGUGAUAUUUUAAUAUACUUGUAGUAACCAUAGUUUCUUCUCAACAUAUUGUGGCUGAUAAAAAGUGAAGGAGUAUGUUUGUGAUAUAAAGAGCAUCAAUCCUAGAUUGAAUAAUUGUAAGUUGAAUUUAUAUAAUAUUAUAUUUCUUCUAGCUCACAGUUGAAGUUAGAAGCAAUUCAGUUGAAGCACAGAUUAAUAAGUGUGGCAAUAGAAUUUCCCAGUUGAAGUUACUCAUUCAGUCAGUUACCCACUCAGUCAAUUGCACCUUGUCAGGAUAAUUAGUGUGGCAAUAAAAUUUCCCAGUUGAAGUUACUCAUUCAGUCAGUUACUCAGUCAGCCAAUUGCAUCUUGUCAGGAUAAUUAGUGUAUCAAUAGAAUUUCCCAGUUGAAGUUACUCAUUCAGUCAGUUACCCACUCAGUCAAUUGCACCUUGUCAGGAUAAUUAGUGUGGCAAUAGAAUUUCUCAGUUGAAGUUACUCAGUCAGUCAGUUACUCAGUCAGCUAAUUGCACUUUGUCAGGAUAAUUAUUUUGGCAAUACAAUAUGCCUAAGUUGAAAAAACAAAGCAUGGUCCAAAGAAGGGCACAUCAGAAGAAGUUGAUCGAGAAAAGUCGCAAGAGGGUGACUAAGGAUGCCACGUCUACUAUUGUGCCUGCUUCGGCAGGCACGCCCACCUCGGUGGGCUCUGUGAAAAACUGUGAAAUUACUGUGAAAAACUGUGAAAUUACUGUGAAAAACUGUGAAAUUACUGAGAAAAGCAGUGAAAUUACUG